rnacentral:lncRNA from 1 species
AUGGACGCAAGCCUGUGGCCAAUGAGGAGGAGAAGAUACCGCAGCGAGCCAGAGGGGAGGGAGUGGGCGGGCCAACGCCCUCCCCUCCCUCCGGCGGCCGGGUCCUCCCUCCCGCCCUGUUCGGCCAGCAAAACAGCCUCUGAAGGUCCAUGGAGACUUCAGAGAGAGAAGCUCUGCGUGUUGCCCCGGAUGAACAUCUUCUAGGCUGACUCCAAGCUGUCCGAGUGAGCCCCAGCAUCUGCUCUUCACGGCCCAGGGACACCCUUGAGUCUCUGCAGUCGGUGCGGGAGGGUCUGUGGCGGACGACUUGCCUGUGUGGUUUUGUUUUCCUUUGUCUACAUUUGGUUGGCAUAAACACUUCUGAAAAAUGGGCUGCAGCUGAUGCCUUUUAGUUUGGUUCCUUUAACGAGGGGUUUAUAAAACGACUCUUACCAUGCAGAACACAUGUUCUCGGUAUACAGUUACUUGAUGGAUUGAAACAGUGCUGAGGGAGGCAGAACACAUGGUUUAAAAUAUUCCUAAAAUGCAUAAUUACCCCGUGGACCAAUCGGGUACAUAAUAUACAUUUUAAUACACCAUUUAAUUGCUGUUUACCUAGGAGACAGGAACUUUUCUGGUCUCUUGGGUUAAACUACAGAUUUUUAGAAACUGUCUAAACACAUAUUUACUUGAUUCAUUCUGGUCUCUUGGGUGAAGAAUCCUUUUCCAAU